GCCCGCCUAGCUCAAUCGGAUAGAGCGUCAGACUCUUAAGUCUGGGUGGGGUCCCUCUGAUGGAAUCUGAAGGCUGCGAGUUCGACCCUCGCGGUGGGCU